rnacentral:rRNA from 1 species
UACGGAGGGGGCCAGCGUUGUUCGGAAUCAUUGGGCGUAAAGGGCGCGUAGGCGGCUUUGUAAGUCCGUUGUGAAAUCCCUCGGCUCAACCGAGGAACUGCGACGGAUACUGCUUGGCUUGAGUCCCGGAGAGGGUAGCGGAAUUCCCAGUGUAGCGGUGAAAUGCGUAGAUAUUGGGAGGAACAUCGGUGGCGAAGGCGGCUACCUGGACGGGUACUGACGCUGAUGCGCGAAAGCUAGGGGAGCAAAC